UGGGGAAUUUUGGACAAUGGGGGCAACCCUGAUCCAGCCAUUCCGCGUGAGUGAAGAAGGCCUUCGGGUUGUAAAGCUCUUUUGUCCGGAGCGAAAAGGUUACGGUGAAUAUCCGUGACUACUGACGGUACCGGAAGAAUAAGCACCGGCUAACUACGUG
rnacentral:rRNA from 1 species